AGAGUUUGAUCCUGGCUCAGGAUGAACGCUAGCGGCAGGCUUAAUACAUGCAAGUUGAACGGGAUUCGAGUAGCAAUACUUGAUGAGAGUGGCGCACGGGUGCGUAACACGUAUGCAACCUACCUUUAACUGGCGAAUAGCCCCGGGAAAUCGGGAUUAAUACGCCAUAAGAUCACGAAAGGGCAUCCUUUAGUAAUUAAAGAAUUUCGGUUAGAGAUGGGCAUGCGGGACAUUAGCUAGUUGGUGAGGUAACGGCUCACCAAGGCAACGAUGUCUAGGGGUCCUGAGAGGGUUAUCCCCCACACUGGUACUGAGACACGGACCAGACUCCUACGGGAGGCAGCAGUAAGGAAUAUUGGUCAAUGGGCGCAAGCCUGAACCAGCCAUGCCGCGUGCAGGAAGACGGCCCUAUGGGUUGUAAACUGCUUUUGUCAGGGAAUAAAUGAUGGUACGUGUACUGUCUUGAAGGUACCUGAAGAAUAAGCAUCGGCUAACUCCGUGCCAGCAGCCGCGGUAAUACGGAGGAUGCAAGCGUUAUCCGGAUUCAUUGGGUUUAAAGGGUGCGCAGGCGGAUUGGUAAGUCAGGGGUGAAAUCCCACAGCUCAACUGUGGAACUGCCUUUGAUACUGUCAGUCUAGAGUAUAGUUGAAGUUGGCGGAAUGUGUCAUGUAGCGGUGAAAUGCUUAGAUAUGACACAGAACACCGAUCGCGAAGGCAGCUAGCUAAGCUAUAACUGACGCUCAUGCACGAAAGCGUGGGGAUCAAACAGGAUUAGAUACCCUGGUAGUCCACGCUGUAAACGAUGAUUACUCGAUGUUGGCGAUACACAGUCAGCGUCUGAGCGAAAGCAAUAAGUAAUCCACCUGGGGAGUACGAUCGCAAGAUUGAAACUCAAAGGAAUUGACGG
rnacentral:rRNA from 1 species